rnacentral:rRNA from 1 species
UUGGGGUUGCGGACAUAUCAUAACGAAGAGGUAUCGUAAUUGAAGAGGUUUGGAAAGACCCACCACAGAAGGUAAUAGUCCUGUAUGUUAAACGAGAAGACUUUAGAUAUGAUCCAGAGUACCACGGGACACGUGAAACCCUGUGGGAAGCAGGAGGGACCACCCUCCAAGGCUAAAUACUACCUAGUGACCGAUAGCGUAUAGUACCGUGAGGGAAAGGUGAAAAGAACCCCGGGAGGGGAGUGAAAUAGACCCUGAAACCCUGCACUUACAAGCUGUGGAAGCACAUUUCUUGUGUGACCGCGUACUUUUUGUAGAACGGGCCAACGAGUUACGUUAAGUAGCAAGGUUAAGCACUUAAGGUG